CAGGCCUAACACAUGCAAGUCGAACGCAUCCUUCGGGAUGAGUGGCAGACGGGUGAGUAACACGUGGGAACGUACCCUUUGGUUCGGAACAACUCCGGGAAACUGGAGCUAAUACCGGAUACGCCCUUUUGGGGAAAGGUUUACUGCCGAAGGAUCGGCCCGCGUCUGAUUAGCUUGUUGGUGGGGUAACGGCCUACCAAGGCGACGAUCAGUAGCUGGUCUGAGAGGAUGAUCAGCCACAUUGGGACUGAGACACGGCCCAAACUCCUACGGGAGGCAGCAGUGGGGAAUAUUGGACAAUGGGCGCAAGCCUGAUCCAGCCAUGCCGCGUGAGUGAUGACGGCCCUAGGGUUGUAAAGCUCUUUUACCUGGGAAGAUAAUGACGGUACCAGGAGAAUAAGCCCCGGCUAACUUCGUGCCAGCAGCCGCGGUAAU
rnacentral:rRNA from 1 species